AUUGGCAUAGUGACUUUAUCAUUUUUUAUAUGACAACUAUAUAAAAAAGUAACACUGUAACUUCAGUAAUAUGGAUUUACAAAUAACAUUGAUUAGCUUAUUGCUUUGAGGUUUUGAGAACUAGAAAAAUACUAAAAUAUUUUAUCAACAUACUAUUUUCAGCCUAUUCAUGAUGGAGUUGAGAAUAAUUUACAGGUGAUUAACCAAGAUCAAAAUGUAUUUAUAGAUAAAUGU
rnacentral:lncRNA from 1 species